GACGAACGCUGGCGGCAUGCUUAACACAUGCAAGUCGAACGGAAAGGCCCUGCUUUUGUGGGGUGCUCGAGUGGCGAACGGGUGAGUAACACGUGAGUAACCUGCCCUUGACUUUGGGAUAACUUCAGGAAACUGGGGCUAAUACCGGAUAGGAGCUCCUGCUGCAUGGUGGGGGUUGGAAAGUUUCGGCGGUUGGGGAUGGACUCGCGGCUUAUCAGCUUGUUGGUGGGGUAGUGGCUUACCAAGGCUUUGACGGGUAGCCGGCCUGAGAGGGUGACCGGCCACAUUGGGACUGAGGUACGGCCCAGACUCCUACGGGAGGCAGCAGUGGGGAAUAUUGCACAAUGGGCGGAAGCCUGAUGCAGCAACGCCGCGUGCGGGAUGACGGCCUUCGGGUUGUAAACCGCUUUCGCCUGUGACGAAGCGUGAGUGACGGUAAUGGGUAAAGAAGCACCGGCUAACUACGUG
rnacentral:rRNA from 1 species